rnacentral:rRNA from 1 species
UGGGGAAUAUUGGACAAUGGGCGAAAGUCUGAUCCAGCCAUGCCGCGUGUGUGAAGAAGGUCUUCGGAUUGUAAAGCACUUUAAGUUGGGAGGAAGGGCAGUUACCUAAUACGUGAUUGUUUUGACGUUACCGACAGAAUAAGCACCGGCUAACUCUGUGCCAGCAGCCGCGGUAAUACAGAGGGUGCAAGCGUUAAUCGGAAUUACUGGGCGUAAAGCGCGCGUAGGUGGUUAGUUAAGUUGGAUGUGAAAUCCCCGGGCUCAACCUGGGAACUGCAUUCAAAACUGACUGACUAGAGUAUGGUAGAGGGUGGUGGAAUUUCCUGUGUAGCGGUGAAAUGCGUAGAUAUAGGAAGGAACACCAGUGGCGAAGGCGACCACCUGGACUGAUACUGACACUGAGGUGCGAAAGCGUGGGGAGCAAACAGGAUUAGAUACCCCCGUAGUCCCUGAGCGGGCUGGCAAGGCGCAU